rnacentral:rRNA from 1 species
AUGCACGCUGGCGGCGUGCCUCAUACAUGCCAGUCGAGCGAACGGACGAGAAGCUUGCUUCUCUGAUGUUAGCGGCGGACGGGUGAGUAACACGUGGAUAACCUACCUAUAAGACUGGGAUAACUUCGGGAAACCGGAGCUAAUACCGGAUAAUAUUUUGAACCGCAUGGUUCAAAAGUGUAAGACGGUCUUGCUGUCACUUAUAGAUGGAUCCGCGCUGCAUUAGCUAGUUGGUAAGGUAACGGCUUACCAAGGCAACGAUGCAUAGCCGACCUGAGAGGGUGAUCGGCCACACUGGAACUGAGACACGGUCCAGACUCCUACGGGAGGCAGCAGUAGGGAAUCUUCCGCAAUGGGCGAAAGCCUGACGGAGCAACGCCGCGUGAGUGAUGAAGGUCUUCGGAUCGUAAAACUCUGUUAUUAGGGAAGAACAUAUGUGUAAGUAACUGUGCACAUCUUGACGGUACCUAAUCAGAAAGCCACGGCUAACUACGUG